GUAAAUAGAUGAGGAACAUAUGAUGUUGUAUGUUGAGACUUUGAACAACCAGAUAGCUAGGUACACUUGUAAAUCCUCUUUACAAUAACAAACACAACAUAGAUAUUGAUUUCCUCAUUGUGAUCUCAAGGCUUGUGCCAACAGGUUGGCCAUGGCGUUUAUAAUGCACGAUCACCGGCCGCAUGGAAGUGUUUUUUGUAAGGGAAUGCAUGCAGGUAUUGGCGCUGAGGAUGAAUGGAAAGACUUAUUCAGAGUCUCAGGUGUUGUCUUUCCCUGCAAUGUUCAGAUAAGGAAUACACAUAGAGCAUCAGUAACACAAGCGACCUGCAGUUUCUCCAAGAACAUAUAUGUUGGAUAACGAUUCGAAGAAAUAACUCAAGAAUGCUCAAAUGCUUGGCCCUCCUAUCAAGAACCCAAAUGCCAGCUCUGCGCUUCUUUUACUUGCAGGGAUCGAACGAGAUCUGACAGGACUCUGCAUCCUUAGCUUUUAUGCUGCUUUAGAACAGACAUCUACCUAGAGGCCGCACAGCAGCACCAACGAUUAACGACUAUUAUCUUGUUGCUAGUAUAUCAACUUUACAUUGUUUGAUUUCGCAAAAAAGAGAGACUGUUUGCAGACUACCAUAGCCAUCCAUGUAGAAUAGGCAGAGCUCGGCCAUAACCUAUAACAGAUUCGUUACUGCCUGCGACCGAGAUCUGUAUUAGUAGCUCUGGUAUUCACUUGUGUUGUAGCCUUGUGGUUGCUCUGUUUGCACUUGCUGUUCAUCGUUGCUGAAUUGGUUUCAGUUAGCGAUGUGUAGCUCCAAAUCAGCAGUAAACAUGAAACCAUUGCUUUGGGCCACAUUCUUUCAGUUGACACGGAGGGCCGUGCUGGCUGAUUCCGGAGUAGGUAUCAGGGGUAAGAGAAUGCGAAGCAGCUGUAAUCUCUGGUAAGUGCAUCUUAAUUAUAUGCCAGUUGGUAAGAGAAUGGUCUGUUGAUGAACUCAUGUGUAGCAACUAAACUCAGUAGUAGGAAUAAUUUGUGAAUCUAGUAGCUAGUUAGGAAGCAAGGGAUGAAUUACAACUACAAGUGGGAUUCACUCUCUUAGUAUUGGCUGAUGCUUGAUGUUCUUGUUCCAGCUACUAAAUUGUUGCAGUUAAUUGAAGCAAACAAAGUUGUUGUAAAUGGGGUUUCUACGCUGAAUAAGUAGCUGGGUAGACACACCAGUCCCAAUUUCAUCUUAGGCUUUUGUUUUUCUCAUCCUGACCACCUCAAGGCUUUAUUGCACCGAUUUUAAGUAGGUGUUGGUGUUGAAGCUGCAAUUAACUGACAGGACCUGCAGUUUCUUUCUCCAGUUUCUUCUUUGGAGAGCACAUCGCCAUUUAAAAGUAAUCAUGCCCUUGUGCAAACACCAUAUGUGUAUAUGGGCAUAUAUCGUUGACAGCCAACGUUGUACUAGCAAGUCAAAACAUGACAGAUCAAGCAAACUCAUACUUCCCCUGUUCAUAAAUAUAAGAUGUUUUAGAGACUUGUGGUUACUACAGAGAAACUUGCAUCAUUAUGGCCAAUCAGGCAAAAUAAUACUCGAAAAUAGGUAGCAAGCAAGACAAGUCGUUCAUAUAGAUCUGUACAUGUAUGGUUCAGGCAUUUGACCAGAAGAUCUACAGAAAAAACAAGAGAGCAUACAACUCGGAUACUGAUUCAAUAAUGCUCAAAUGGUGGACGUACUCACCGACUGAAAUGAGUUUGUCUCAGCACUCACUUUAUUUUCGGCAGGGCCCAACCAAAAUCCUAUUUGGUAUGCAGAGUAUUUUCAUGUGUGGUUUGCUGCAAAGGGACCAAGAAAUCAGACAUAUUGCCCGAAAUAUAUAUGUAGACUGGAUGAUUCAAGUCGUAAAGAGCAGUGCAUCAGUAAGAAAAUAUAUGCAUGACCUGUAAACUUAGUGCCUGCAGUUUCUUCACUUCUUCACACGCCAUUCUUCACUUUGGCAAGCAACAAGCUAUGCUGCCUGUAAUAAAGCUUUUCAUGCUAGUCUCAUUUAUGUCACCACAAACAAAGAACACAAUAGAAAUUCGUAUGACAACACAAAGCUUUGUUAUAUAUAAUACUCUGCCUCACCAACCUAGGUUGUAAUAUAUAUGUGUGCUGGAUCACGUGCAUGUAUGUUGCACACAUGUACGUGAUCCGGCACACAUGGGUGGUCUCUCCUCCUUUUUCCGGGCUUGAGACCGGCUGCGCCAUUGUAAGUCUUACCUUAAAAUGCC
rnacentral:lncRNA from 1 species